GGCAAGGUGGCCGAGUGGUCUAAGGCGCACGGUUCAGGUUUCACCUGAUCCAUCACAUUCCGUGUCAUGAAAAUGGCGUGGGUUCGAAUCCCACCCUUGUCA
rfam:Byssochlamys spectabilis No. 5 DNA, contig: PVAR5_00564_1.